rnacentral:tRNA from 1 species
AUGCGGGGUGGAGCAGCCUGGUAGCUCGUCGGGCUCAUAACCCGAAGGUCGUCAGUUCAAAUCUGGCCCCCGCU